GGUAAGAUGGCUGAAUGUUUAAGCGGUGGAUUGUAGCCCCAUAGACAGAGGUUUGAUUCCUCUUCUUACCA
rnacentral:tRNA from 1 species